rnacentral:pre_miRNA from 1 species
CCACAGGGAACAUUCAACGCUGUCGGUGAGUUUGUUCUCUAAGGAAAACCAUCGACCGUUGACUGUACCUUGAGG